rnacentral:rRNA from 1 species
AUCGAACGCUGGCGGCAGGCCUAACACAUGCAAGUCGAACGAGUGGCGGACGGGUGAGUAAUUUCUGGGAAACUGCCUGAUCGAGGGGGAUAACUACUGUAAACGGUAGCUACUACCGCAUACCAUCGGAUGUGCCCAGAUGGGAUUAGCUACGAGGUGGGGUAAAGGCUCACCUAGGCGAAAAUGCCUAGCUGGGCUGAGAGGAUGACCAGCCACACUGGGACUGAGACACGGCCCAGACUCCUACGGGAGGCAGCAGUGGGGAAUAUUGGACAAUGGGCGAAAGCCUGAUGCAGCCAUGCCGCGUGAAUGAAGAAGGCCUUCGGGUUGUAAAGUACUGUCAGCGGGGAGGCGUUACCCGCAGAAGAAGCACCGGCUAACUCCGUGCCAGCAGCCGCGGUAAUAC